AUGAGUGUCCUUCCUGACCUCCUAGCUCGUACGACAUGUGAUACCUAGAUGAACCAGUCUCCAUGCACUCUAUCUGCAUCUAUUAGAGAAUGAAUAGUUAUCAAUUAUCAUACCAGUGAGAAAGUUAAUACUUGGUUAUCCUGUAAUCAGUAGAAACUAGGGAAUUAUCCUAAACUACUGAUCUAUAACAUAUCCAACUUGCAUACUGGGGUCCCAUCAAGGUUAAGUGGCAGUAGAUCUGGGACAGAUUACUCUCUCUUCAUCAGCAGCCUGCAGCUAGAAGAUAUUGCCACUUACUACUGUGUACAGUCUAGCAGUCUUUCUCU